UUGAACGCUGGCGGCAGGCCUAACACAUGCAAGUCGAACGGUAACAGGAAGAAGCUUGCUUCUUUGCUGACGAGUGGCGGACGGGUGAGUAAUGUCUGGGAAACUGCCUGAUGGAGGGGGAUAACUACUGGAAACGGUAGCUAAUACCGCAUAACGUCGCAAGACCAAAGAGGGGGACCUUCGGGCCUCUUGCCAUCGGAUGUGCCCAGAUGGGAUUAGCUAGUAGGUGGGGUAACGGCUCACCUAGGCGACGAUCCCUAGCUGGUCUGAGAGGAUGACCAGCCACACUGGAACUGAGACACGGUCCAGACUCCUACGGGAGGCAGCAGUGGGGAAUAUUGCACAAAGGGCGCAAGCCUGAUGCAGCCAUGCCGCGUGUAUGAAGAAGGCCUUCGGGUUGUAAAGUACUUUCAGCGGGGAGGAAGGGAGUAAAGUUAAUACCUUUGCUCAUUGACGUUACCCACAGAAGAAGCACCGGCUAACUCCGUG
rnacentral:rRNA from 1 species